CAGGAUGGACAAUACUAUGUCAAAGGCAGUGAACCACUUCUGUCAUGUUGGCAGAGAAGUGAGGAUCCUUCUGCAUUCCAAGGACCUAGACUUCCUCCAUCAUGUUGCUGAUGAGCAUGAUUGCCUUGUAGCCAGUCGGACAAUGUCUUGGACUGAGAUUUGGACUGGGGCUCCCUAUGGCCUAACACUGUUGCAUGCAAACAGGGGCUGAAAUGCCCAUUGAGUACCUGAACCUCAGGAUUGGCGUCACCAUGGCAUGUGAAGGACCAAGUGAACCACUUCUGUCAUAUUGCAGAAGCGUGAUGUUCCAUCUGCAGUCCAAGAAAGGGGGAGACGGCCUGUUUAGCCCUGGGAACACAUGAACGAGGAAAACCAACCUUGAUCAGAAGGGCCUUCAGCAACAACCUUGUUAUGAAUUCAUACUGUCCAGAAGUCCCAUCACAGUGAUGCAUGAUGGGAACUUGUGUUAUCCCAAAACGCUUUUCUGGAGCUCCUCUGUCAGAGCUGCACAGACACCCCUGAACGUCUCUUGCCAAUGGGUCCUUCAACUCAGAGGAGGUGUAGGAAGAGACACCAAGGAUGGCGGAGGUUUUUAUCCAAGCGGAGGU